UUUGAUGAGGAUGAUCUCUUGUGAUAAAAAGUUUAUACAGAUAAGAUGGUUGCUUGGACUUUAAAAUUCUAUAAAUAAAAUUAUGUGUAACAUGCUGCCGGUAUGGAACAUCAUAUGCAAACCGCAUACAGGUAUUUUGCAACUUUUGGAUGGAUUUUGCAGUUUUAUUAGUUAAAGAACCAUGAUAAACAGCAUCGCCAUAGUCAAGUAAAGAUAAAACCAAAGAAUUACACAAAUAAAAUUUCGUUUUUUGAGGCAGAUAUUUUUUUAUGUUAUACAGUUUUUUUAGUCGAAGGUAUGCAAUGCUUAGUUUUCUUUUAACAUGCGUUUCAAAAGUGAGUCUAGUAUCAAAAUAGAUUCCUAAAUUUUUGGCUUCUGUAACAAUAGGCAACCGUUCAUUAUUUAAUAUUAUAUUUAGGUUUUUAUUUAUACUGGA